rnacentral:rRNA from 1 species
AUUGAACGCUGGCGGCAGGCUUAACACAUGCAAGUCGAGCGGGGUGAUGGUGCUGGCACUAUCACUUAGCGGCGGACGGGUGAGUAAUGCUUAGGAAUCUGCCUAUUAGUGGGGGACAACAUCUCGAAAGGGAUGCUAAUACCGCAUACGUCCUACGGGAGAAAGCAGGGGAUCACUUGUGACCUUGCGCUAAUAGAUGAGCAUAAGUCGGAUUAGCUAGUUGGUGGGGUAAAAGCCUACCAAGGCGACGAGCUGUAGCGGGUCUGCGAGGAUGAUCCGCCACACUGGGACUGAGACACGGCCCAGACUCCUACGGGAGGCAGCAGUGGGGAAUAUUGGACAAUGGGGGGAACCCUGAUCCAGCCAUGCCGCGUGUGUGAAGAAGGCCUUAUGGUUGUAAAGCACUUUAAGCGAGGAGGAGGCUCUUUUGGUUAAUACCCAAGAUGAGUGGACGUUACUCGCAGAAUAAGCACCGGCUAACUCUGUGCCAGCCGCCGCGGUAA